UCGAGAAGCUUCGGCAAUGGGCGAAAGCCUGACCGAGCGACGCCGCGUGAGCGAUGAAGGCCCUAUGGGUUGUAAAGCUCUGUCAGAUUGGGAAGAAAACUUCGAGGUUAAUACCCCCGAAGCUUGACGGUACCAUCAGAGGAAGCACCGGCUAACUCCGUGCCAGCAGCCGCGGUAAUACGGAGGGUGCAAGCGUUGUUCGGAUUCACUGGGUAUAAAGGGUGCGUAGGCGGCGCGAUAAGUCAGGGGUGAAAUAUGUCGGCUCAACCGACAAACUGCCUCUGAAACUGCCGCGCUUGAGGUCGGGAGAGGAAGGUGGAAUUCCAGGUGUAGCGGUGAAAUGCGUAAAUAUCUGGAGGAACACCAAUGGCGAAGGCAGCCUUCUGGCCCGAUUCUGACGCUGAGGCACGAAAGCCAGGGGAGCAAACGGG
rnacentral:rRNA from 1 species